rnacentral:rRNA from 1 species
GAUGAACGCUGGCGGCGUGCCUAAUACAUGCAAGUCGAGCGAACAGAUGAGGAGCUUGCUCCUCUGACGUUAGCGGCGGACGGGUGAGUAACACGUGGAUAACCUACCUAUAAGACUGGGAUAACUUCGGGAAACCGGAGCUAAUACCGGAUAAUAUAUUGAACCGCAUGGUUCAAUAGUGAAAGACGGUUUUGCGGUCACUUAUAGAUGGAUCCGCGCCGCAUUAGCUAGUUGGUAAGGUAACGGCUUACCAAGGCAACGAUGCGUAGCCGACCGGAGAGGGUGAUCGGCCACACUGGAACGGAGACACGGUCCAGACUCCUACGGGAGGCAGCAGUAGGGAAUCUGCCGCAAUGGGCGAAAGCCUGACGGAGCAACGCCGCGUGAGUGAUGAAGGUCUUCGGAUCGUAAAACUCUGUUAUUAGGGAAGAACAAAUGUGUAAGUAACUAUGCACGUCUUGACGGUACCUAAUCAGAAAGCCACGGCUAACUACGUG